CUGACUGUGGCAGGGGACACUCUCCUGCUGGCUCUCUCUGUCCACACUUAGCUGGCUCCUGUCCUCAGGUGCACGGCCACACCCUUGCACCCAACCUUGAUCCUCUGAUGGGGAAGGUCCCAGGACUUGUCUGCUGGGACAGGCCUCACCCCCAAGAGCUCUGGGCAGUACUGAGAAGCUUGGCUGCCUCAGUAUCCCCAGGAGAGCCAUAGUGACCACAGUAGCUUUCUCUUCAAAAUGACAACUAUCUCAUCUCUUCAGACUAAAUUAACUCCACCCACAGUCAGAAGAAAACUCACAAAAUGGUGGUCAGGAAGAUUGAUCUCUGGAACAUUCACAGGACGACAGGAUGAGAGAAAAAAGGUGUGACAGAGAGGCAGCUACAAUUCGAAGCAACUGUGCAUCGCCGAAUUUUUCCAUAAAGAAUUCCAGCCUGCCUCACAGUUUUCAAGACCACACACUCCGAGAGGCGGAGCGCAUACGAAGCAGAUCGCUGCCUCUCAGAGUAACGCAAGAGGAAGAUAAAUGACACUCAGACUCAGCACACAUCCGGCCAAGCCCGACCCAAACGCUUCCUCUUCGCAGACAGACUUUCAGAUCCUUCUUGCAGAGUCCCAACCCUGAGCAGAGGACAUCGGCACCUCAGUGGCUGUUGCUCUUCAUUUUAGUGGGGGAUUGCAGAGGCAAAGCUAGACUAGGUCUUGGAAGCUGGUGUAAGGCGGUGCGCGGAAGGCAGGACGCUGAUGGGAGAGACUGGUCG
rnacentral:lncRNA from 1 species